CAAGUGGUCUUUCGGGCCCCCUCUCUGACUUGGACUCGCAUUCUCGCCUUAAAAGGAAGGCGACCAAGUCCACUGGGAGGGAAACGGCUACGGAGCGGCAGUCGCGAUGUGGGCACCGAAGGCGCGACUUCGCACCAGGCACCCCAGGUGGUCAAUAGCCCUGGAGGAGAUCUCGGGAGGAGAGGAGGAGGCGGAGGGGAAGAGGAUCCCAAUGUGACUCACGCGCCGAUCUUACAAGCACGUCGAACGCCACCGAGAGCGAACAGGCAAGAGACGUGGGCGCGUUGCAGAGACUGACCGGCGAGAGAAGACUGAUUUUUGUUGUAAUCGAGAGAAACUUGUUUUGAAAAGCGCUGUGUUGUUAUUUUUGAACAAAACCCAGAAUUAAAAAAAAGAAAUGAAAAAAAAUAUAUACAUUUAUAAAAGAAAAUGAGAUGAAAGAACUGAUAAUAAUCUCGCAUCUUAAAAUUUUAUCCACACAAUAAAUAAAGUUUAUUACUUCUCAA